UGGGGAUUGCUCACCACCUGGAACGAGCUGCGAAUCAGCUCCUGGCUGAAGUCUACCAUGGAACCUUUCACAAAGGCCAGGCUGUCCACAUCCACAACUACACGGGCACCACCUUGUUCAAACACCCUGUCGUCAGGAUUGAUAACUGUGUCCAAAGAAAACUUGUACUGGAACCCAGAGCAACCACCUCCUUCCACCUGCAGCCUGAGAAACUCUGAUCCUUCUGCAAUCUCCAGCAGCCUCUUCACGCAGCUCUCGCUGAGGUAGACCUGUCCCUCACUAGAGUCGCUCUCCGUCGGUCCCGGCUGGGAGGAGGACGACGCCCAGCGCAGCGAGCGGCCCAGCGCGCAGGCCGCGGCCGGCGGGGGGCCGAGCGGCGCUCGUCCUCUGCGCGACGGAGCAGAACACCAACUGCUGACCCGACUGCCCCACGCCAACCACCAACAGCGCCUCAGCGCCGCCAUCUUGCCUCUCGCCGCCUCCCCAGCGCUCCGC
rnacentral:lncRNA from 1 species